CUUGCAACAUAAACAACAUAGUUAUCCAAAGUUUUGCUCAAACAUCAUCAAAUUAGGCAAGGAAUCAUAAUACCCACGUUUCUUGAACCAUUUCAUUGCAGAAACGGAGAAUUGACCUUCUCACCAUACUAAAAUUCAGCUCAUUACUACAAAUCUAGUACUACACCGAACGUGCCCCAUUUACAGCUCUAUUGUCCACUGGGGCACUACGUGAGUAAUUUCAAUUGACAGCUGCACUUACAUUUAUUUUGUACAGCACCUAGAUUCUAUUCUACUUUAUCGAACUAACCAGGUUGCCUUUCUGCUGCUUUCACUUUUUCUACUUUAUACCUAGUAGAAUGAUGAGCACAAGGAUGAUGAUGGAUGGCCGUUGUUCCUUUCCAGUCCGAUUGGGGGUCCAUUAUGAGUAGCAGUUCGCCGAUGUCCAGGUAUCCGGGUCCGUUUGGGCCAUGGGGCUCAGAAGAGGGUCAGUGUCAGUUGCUCUCGGGGGAAAAGCAACUGACGAAAAAUUGCAAGUGCCGGGGCUGGGAUUCAAACCCAUGACCAUCCGCAUAUGAAGCGAACGUGUGACCAACUACGCCACGGGCCCCGGCUAAUCGACACCUUAAACGUUUUUGCAGACAAGGUGUAAAUAAUGGGCCGGUCUCAGCGAGAAUUACUCAUAUUUGCCACGGUAAACAGUAACUUAUGGUCAAGUUUGCAGCUUACUUGCAAACUAAUGAUGUCUAUUAGAAUGUCUGAUGGGCUGUUAAUGGUCUGUAGUGUAGAACUAUUUGGCAGGAAGCCCGAAAUAUCCCGAAGUUCUAGAAAAUGGUCAUAUUCUUUAAAUGUCUCAUAUGGGUCAUCCUAUUAUAACCCAUAUUAACCUAUAACCAGAUAUUAUCGUCGCAGCAUCAAAUCGAAGUCGCGACAUGCGAAGUUACAGAUGCGAACACUCUAAAAAAUUUUCACGUCCGAUUUACGUGAAAUAUCACGUAGCUCAUGCUUAUCCUUAAAACUUCCAAAGUUACGUGGCGUUAGUCAUUGUCACUCGAUAACCACGUCGUAGGCACCGCCCUGUUUGGUGAAAUCCACCUAGUUUUUCACGUAAACCGCUAUGAUGCGUUCGUGUUAGUGUAUUUUGACUUGGAACAUUCCGCUGAACGAAAGUUACGUGACUUUCAGGUGUGAAAAACAAUUCAACAUGGCGACGAGAAGGUUGGUGCAAAACGGCUUCCUAAAGUUUCCGUGCAAGUUUUGUUUUGUGGCUUCUUCUAUGUUUAAUCAUUUCAGAGCUGGAAUGCGUCAUAAUUCUCGUGACGGUAGCGGAGGUCCAACAGAGAAGUUCAACGAGUGUUAAAAAUGGUUGGACUUCACAGAUUUUGCUUUAUCAUCCUUGGAUUUAUUUGGAACUCUGCACUUUUAAAGGAUCAGAGGAUCCGAAACGUAUGUAGAAACGUAAGUGCAAAUUUAUUAAGUACAUACUGUAAAAUAAAUGACUGAUAAAGA